rnacentral:rRNA from 1 species
ACGGGUGAGUAACACGUGGAUAAUCUACCUUCUAGUGGGGAAUACCUCUGGGAAACCGGAGACAAUACCGCAUAAGCUCGAGAGAGGAAACCCGCAAGGGGCUGGAAGAGGAGUCCGCGGCCGAUUAGCUAGUUGGUGGGGUAAAAGCCUACCAAGGCAAAGAUCGGUAGCCGGCCUGAGAGGGCACACGGCCACACUGGCACUGAAACACGGGCCAGACUCCUACGGGAGGCAGCAGUGGGGAAUCUUGCACAAUGGGGGCAACCCUGAUGCAGCGACGCCGCGUGAGCGAUGAAGCCCUUCGGGGUGUAAAGCUCUUUCGACGGGAACGAUAAUGACGGUACCCGGAGAAGAAGCUGCGGCUAACUACGUGCCAGCAGCCGCGGUAAUACGUAGGCAGCAAGCGUUGUUCGGAGUUACUGGGCGUAAAGAGUGCGUAGGCGGUGCCGUAAGUCUGCUGUGAAAUCUCCCGGCUUAACCGGGAGGGUGCGGUGGAGACUGCGGUGCUUGAGUGUGGGAGAGGUAAGCGGAAUUCCUGGUGUAGCGGUGAAAUGCGUAGA